UAGGGAGUUUCGAUUGGCAUCCAACAUGAUAUUACAAAUCUCUUCAGUGCUACGGAUAUUCCCAACAAGGUUAUCCGUUUGUUGUACGAUUUCAUCGACUUGUUUGCAAUACGUUUCAAGCAACAAUUCAACCUCGUCAUGUUUGUCCAAAUCCCGAGGCUUUCCGGUUUUAAGUCGUUCUGUAAGAUACAUACCAGCCAAGUCUUGAUCCUGUUCAAGAAGUUCAUCCAAGACAUCACGAAUUAAAGUUGCUUUUUUUAAAAACCCAGAUAACCGUUUGGAAAAUAUAAGUAAAGUACGUAACCGCUCUUGAUUGAUAUCUAGCUCGAAAUCAGCUAACAAAUCAGAUACAAGGUUGUGAAGGACAUGAAGCUCGGAAUCUAGCGUAUUCACAACGCUUACCAGGAUUGUUUCCAAAGCCCUCAUUUCGUAAGGGAGCCAACCAAAAUCGCUAGACUUUUGCUUAAGUCUUCCUUCUAACUCAUAUAUAAACUGUGAUUGAGAGUGUGAAUGUUGACUUCCGUAUACAUCAAACAGUAAAACAGAAUUGGCUUUAAUCAAUGCUCGAAUGUGUAACAAAUUUAUCAGGAUUGAGCCUUCACGAACAAGGAUAACGGGAACAAUGGAAUUAAUACUCGUAUUUAACUUUCUAAGGUCGCGAGGUAAUAAUCCGUUUUGUUUGCACAAGUCCAUUUUUUUGAAAUCUCCCGAAAUAACCCGGACAUUUCCAUGAUCGUCAAACUCUGUACAAUUCAUUAAAAGCCGAUUUUUUGUUGCAGCCACCGAAGGUGGACAAUUUUUGGAAGUCUCCGGAAAACCUGUGAUCAACGGAUUAGAGUCUGUAGCAUAAAAAUGUUUGUCAAAUGGCUUCUCCAAUAACACCACGGGUCGAAUUAUUCGCGACCGAUAUUUUGGAAAUAAAAAAAGAGAACGACAUAUUGGAGAGAAAGAGGCAAUUGACGUUCUUAAAUUAAAUCCCACAAUCAAUACCAUUUGUUUAUUUCGUGCCGCCAACAAAUUUGAUACAAGCUACGAAACUGAGAAACCGCGACAAUCAAUUCACUUUAAAAACAACAAUGUUUCUUAAGGAAAUAUUGGAAGCUCAGUUUCUUCGAAAAAAUAAAGAAAUAACAAAAAAUGCUAUA